rnacentral:tRNA from 1 species
GUCCCUGUAGCUCAAUGGAUAGAGCGUAGGCCUCCGAAGCCUAAGAUCGAGGUCCGAUUCCUCGUAGGGACA